UAGUCCACGCCGUAAACGAUGAUCACUCGCUGUAGGCGAUACACAGUCUGUGGCUAAGCGAAAGUUUUAAGUGAUCCACCUGGGGAGUACGAUCGCAAGAUUGAAACUCAAAGGAAUUGACGGGGGCCCGCACAAGCGGAGGAACAUGUGGUUUAAUUCGAUGAUACGCGAGGAACCUUACCUGGACUUAAAUGUAGAUUGCAUAGCUUAGAGAUAGGCUUUUCUUCGGACUAUUUACAAGGUGCUGCAUGGUUGUCGUCAGCUCGUGCCGUGAGGUGUCGGGUUAAGUCCCAUAACGAGCGCAACCCCUAUCCUUAGUUGCCAGCGGGUCAUGCCGGGGACUCUGACGAGACUGCCUACGCAAGUAGUGAGGAAGGCGGGGACGACGUCAAAUCAUCAUGGCCUUUAUGCCUAGGGCGACACACGUGCUACAAUGGUAGGUACAGAGGGUAGCUAAGCCGCGAGGUGGAGCCAAUCCCAGAAAGCCUAUCCCAGUUCGGAUUGG
rnacentral:rRNA from 1 species